ensembl:lncRNA
AUGUUUCCUUUUCAAGGAAAGUUGAGGUACAAUUUUUAGGUACAGCAGUCUUCUCAGCUUACUCAGUCCGUAACUCUCACUUCACCUAUUUAAAUUCCAGUAAUUUCAGUGUUUUUGGAAUGUAGAACCCUGUGCAGCUAUGUUGUGAUUCAGAACUUUGUGCUAAAUUCUUCUGAAGAGCAGAGGAGAGGUGGGAGCUCAGCAACUAUUGCUAUUUUGAAUCCUGUUACUGUUGAAUGUUAAAACACUUCCAGAUUUCUUUGAGAGUCAGAGGUGUUCUUAGUAGUCAUUUUGUGACAACUUGACCAGUUCCAUUGUUCUUACUCUAUUCCAAAUUACUUUUGAAACAAAUGGAAGGACUGUACAUUAAGACCAGGUACACGUUAGGUAAUUUUUUGUAGAUUUAGAGAUCUGUUAAAGGAGGCAAUAAAACAUCUACUUAGACAUAGCUAAUGGGAAAUGCACUCAUUUAAAAACAAAACUAAACAAAAAAAAUCAAACCCACAAGAACUAUUGAAUGAAAAGUAUACCUUUUAUGACUUUUCGAAUGGAGUGAAAUUGGUACUGUUUCAUUUUACAGGUAUUUAAUAGUGAUGUCUUCAUUCUGUGCAUAUUAACUUUGGUAAUCUCCUUGUAGAAAAUCUGUUUAUCUUUGAGACAUUUAAAAUGUAUUUUCAACAUCAAAUUGAAUGUGAAUAUUACAGUAGUAAUCGUCCUUCUUGAAGAAGGUAUGAAAGGUACUCUGUCCAUGGUGGCGUUGCAUCUGAAUAUACCUGUUUUAAAAACAGAGACACAAAACCGUGCCACAGAAUAAAUAAAUAAAUAAAAAACCAAAGGGACUAAAAAACCCAAUAAAUAGAAACACCUGUACUUUGGCAUGGAUUUUCAGCAAGCAGUCAGAACCUUUUCUCAUUGGAGUACCUUCUACAAUGAAUUACGUCUUACACCUUUACUUCCAGAAGGGCAUAGGAAUUCAUUAAACUGGUUGUUUUUUUGUUUGCUUUUUUUUUUUUUUGUUUCCUAAUGUAAAGCUUUGUUUUAAGAAUGGAUAUGAGUUGUGUAUUAGAAAUAGUAUUAAUAGGUUAAGGAUUAAUAGGAGAGUUUCUCGUUCUUUAAAAUACUUUCUCAGUAAAUCUUAUCCGGGAACUUCACGCACGUGGAAUUUCUGUAUGAAUCCAUAUGUGUGUGCGAGUUCUGCCAUUUGCGUGCAUGGGUAGUAUAAGCAAGGAACUUCUGUGAGAAAAGCUGUGCGCAGAAAUAGGUUUCAUUGCAAAAUGUGUUGCUGACAAAUGGAAAGACUUGAGGUUUACUGAAUUUACUGCUGUAUUUACUGUAAUAGAUACACAGUGAAUGCAGCAUACAGUAGAUCAAAAAAUGAGUUUCUCAUGCUUUAACAGAUACAGUAAUCUUUUUUGGUGAUUUUGAAUGCAAGAAUAGCUUGAGUAAUAUUUAAUCAGACUCUUACUGGAAUAAUUCUUUUAAGUAAUAAGUUUUAUAUUUUUUAUGGGUACUUUAUUAAUUCAUGCCCCAUUUUCUCCUUGUUGAGCUAUACUGUUAAGCAGUGUUUGAAGUACAAAAUAUUUGGGCCCCCCAAGCAGCACUAGCAGGGUUGUUUAUGCUGCUGCACCUGCGGGGUGAAGCCCACGCUCCAUCCUCUGUGACUGCCUAGAAUGAAAGACUGAUGUCUUUCAGGCACUGGGGCUGCAGACAUCUGAAAUGCCUAAAUGGAGCUAGGAUUGUUCUUCUGGACAAAGAAAGUUCCUUCUGUUUUUGAGCAAAUUCUCCUUACUGUUGCUUUUUAUACUGAAUGGACACGUGGCUCUUUGGGGCACUUCUUUGCAGCAUAGUCCCUGCUGGUUGGCCUGGGUGGCAGAAUUGUCCAGCAGAGGUCUCAGUUUAUACUUGGAAGUGUCAGUGUUGAGCCACUGGGUGCCAAAGUAAUGCAAGUGAGCUUGUACCCAGAGAAAUGCCUACACUUCUGGUUGUGUUGGGAGGGGCCUGAUUCACUCAGCACAUUCACACCAUUCUGACACGGACAAAGACAGCUUAGAUUUCAGUUCAGAAGUUGAGCAGGAGUUGUUGCCUUGUCCAUCUGUUCAUCUUAGCCUAGUUGUUGAUGCACUUACCCAGGAGGUGAGAAGCACAGCUUUUCUCCUUCUGCUGGCUAAGUGAGGAACAACAACUGCACCCGGCUCUCACUUUCCAAUAAAAUGCUCUACCUGGUGGGCUCACGGUCCUCCUGGAGUGCCACUUUCUGAGCCUCUCUUGAGCCUACUGCUGUAAGAUAAUAAAUACAUUAAUUAAUCUCUUGAAUCAACACCUUUGAUCUUAAGUUAAAAAAAAAAAGUGCAGAAACAGUCUAUGGAAGCUGCACCCACAGAUUUUCAGUGUCCCUCCCUCUCAUUGUUUUCUCUCUUUGUGUUUAACCAAAUAGGGCUAAAAAUGUUCAGGGCAAAACCUCAGCACCAUGCCCUACUAGGAGAGCUUUUCUCCCAUCUGUCAGUCAGUGGAGAAGGCAGAGCUGAAGCAGUUUGGAAUGUUUCUCUUUCUUUCUCUCUGUCCCUUGUGCCUUUGGGUACAGGCCUGGGUUCACUGAGGUAUGUUGGAUACCAUACCUUCCUGCAAGCUGGUGGUUUGCCUAAUUAUAAGUUGUUGAUCCCAGCACGAAUUUAGAUGAAAGUUGUGGUUUAAUAUUGUAACAGGCAGAAGCAGUCUUGCUUUUAUUGAAACUAUAGACGAAACCUCUAUCAGCUUCAGCAGCUUGACAUGAGGCAUUGCCCUUCCGAUUCAGAGAAAAGAUGAUGAGCUCAGCUGUUUUCAUCUGUAGGAGUUUAAGUGUGCGCUUAGAAGCUUUACUGAAUGGGAUAUAGAAUGGAGCAGAAGAUCAGUGCAGAGAAAGAAAGUAGGGUUCUAUUAUUUGAAAGCAUGAAGUUUCUUAAUUCUUGCCAAACUAUCCAGAAAAACACACAGGAAUUCUCAUGUUUCUUCAAUUGCUUUUAUAAUAGGAUAAGGAUUCUAUAGUGGGAUGAAUUAUUUAAAAUAGAAUUGUUUGAAAACAACAUUUGAAAAGAGGUUACGUUUUAGACUUCCAGCCUUUCUGAUGUCUUUUGCAGUUGCAUCAGUGUGAGUCAUGAGGCAUGUUGUGAAAAUAAUGGAUUUUAUAUUUUGAAUCCAGGUAGCACUUAGUCGUAUGGCCACCAGCACUCUGAAAUUACGUGCGACUUUUCAAAUGCCUGUAUUGUGUGCCACUUCUUAAUCUAUUCAACAGCAUGUGGUUGCAAUGGCUGCUCGCCUCUAAUGUGACUUUUGGUUUCUUCUUCUAUGAAACGUUUUAAUGUUUACUUCAAUUUUUAAUAUAGGAAGAUUCUCAAAUUGUUCAUACAAAAUUCAGUUGAACGCUGUAGCUCUAAUGUGUAGCCCUACAGUAAAGAAGGAAAAGGAGGAAGGAAGAAAAAUGCAAUGGGGAUAGUUCUUUUCCAGAGUGGUGCAAGUGUUUGGAAAUAUAUUUCCAUUGGUCAUGAAAGCAAUGGGGCAGAAGUGAUUUUUAAACAAAAUCUUGAUAAUACUCGGGUUAACUUGGGUUUUGUUUUUAAUCAUAUGUGGUAUAAUCUUGUCUAAACUCAGUGUUUUUGAUAGGCCUGCUGAAGGACACCUCAGGCAAAAUGUAACUGGCAUUUUUUGUGGCUGUUGGGAACCAUUGUGACUUGGGAGUCUCCAUUUUAGCAAUGCAGAUGCCCUAGUUUAACCUAGGCAUGUACGUAGAGUGUCAGGAAAGAUCUUCACGCGUUUAGCAGAACAUGUAUUCUAAACAAGUACACAAGCAGGUGAAGAGUAACCAAAUUGUUACUUAAUCUUGCCACAAAAUAUGUCUGGUAAGUAAGAGGACGAUUUUUAUUGUUGAUGAUAACAAUGGAAGAUCAUUGUAAAUGUACUGUGAUAAACCAUACGUGGACUCUCUGUUGCUCAUGGUCAUGUCUUCAAAUGCAUUUCACAUUUGCAAAGUAGUAUUGCCCUCUUCACAGAGCGAGGAAGAGGACAGAGUACGAACACUGAAAAAGAAAUGUUUGUUACCACGAUGCCUGUGCAUCAAAAUUAGUUGUUUUUUUUAAUAAAUAAAAGUAUUUUUAAUUAAAAAAAAAAAAAACAACAACACAAAAAACAGUGACAACCCAACUGAUAAUGCUAUUUGAGUGCUACUUCAACUAAUUGGAGUAUGCCGAGUACUACAUGACUGUGUGAAUAUGCAUGUGAAAAGACCGAGUAUUCUGGUAGCUACCAGGUGUCAAAGCUGUCAGGACCAGUACAUUGGAAGAUAUCAAUGUCUAUUUUUAAAUUGAAAUUAAAAAAAAAAAAGAUUUUUUUAUUUGUAUAAAGAUGUAAUUUUGCUGUUAACUUCCAUUCUUUUUUUUUUACUGAAACACAAUUUUGUAAUUGCGUUUAGAAUUUCUAAUGUGAAAAGGAAUUUACAAAAUCUAGUUUAAUAAAGGAUUUUUGCCACAAGAAGAGCCUCCUGUCCUUCCUUGGAAGAACACAUUUCAGCUUUUAUCAGAUUAUGUCAAAUAAUAGGCUUGCAGUUCUGCAUGGAAGCCGCUUGUCCCAACUUUGGGAUGCCAUCUGUAGAGGGAGAAAGCAACCAUCUGCAGGCACAGGAAGGAACAGAUUUGUGGCCUGAAUUUAAGUGAUGUGAGUGGGAGCUGAAUGCUCACAUUACUGAAAAUAAGGGUUGUGGUUUUAGGAUCUUUUUUUUUCCUGAAGUAGCUGAAGAGAUGGGACUGUUUUGUGGGAGAUGAAGGUGGUGGCCUGAGUGAAAGGAGGG